CCGCAUAGCAAAAUACAGUUUGCCAUACUUUCCAAACAGAAAGUUUGCUCUAACUGUUACUGUUACUUUAAGACAAACAUUUGGUUUUCUGUUUAACAAUAUGAAGCCUGACGCUACACACCAUAGAGAACGUCUUUGAUAACGUAUACCAACUAGUAACAGUAUGUUAUAGUGUCUGCACAUUGUUUGACGUUAUGGAAAUAAAACUCGUGAGAAAUGGUGGCACUAUGGCAUCACCUCAAGUCAAACGGUCUGUUCUCGCAGUAGCGCAACACACUAUCACAUACGAGUUUCACAAUACAGUACUUAUGCUCAACAAUCUGUCAUAUGGUUACAAACAUUUGUAUUUGCAAAUGAAAUAUCCUAAGGUUUGCCGCUGCGCUGUCUGUCAGAUUAUUUGUAAAAAAAAGCAAAAAGUGCAAAUCCUGGGUUUCCGAACGACCAAAAAAUAAUUUUUCUCUGGCUCAACUGCGGAGUUUGCAAGUGCCUCCUAAACCGUAAUCGAAAGGUGGUUGGCCACAGGCGAUCGUGGCGGGCCGGUGCAACAGACAACAAAAUUAAAGAUUUUCACCGACACAUUCCGGCGAAAUGACCAACGAAGUGAACUUCGACACUCGGAUCCCUUUCGAAAGGAUGUCCGGCUUCCUCAUCUCGCUGCAAGAGCCGUAAGUGGCAUUCCAGGCCCACAGGAAGCAGAUGUCGGUGCCCCUGUCUAAGAAUGGAACAAACGUGUACGUCGGUGUGCAUGAUCGUGAAGCUGAAGGUGGACAAUAAUCGCAAGAGGAUCCUGGACAAACGUGCCGCCGGAAUCCGGGCGGCGUUGUCGAAGGAGAAGGACAAGUGCACCACGGAAAGCAUUUAUGUCUCCACUUUGGAAACCAUUUCAUAAACAUGCGGCAACUAUUCUGAAAAUCUUUAGGCUGGCCACCGCCGACAAGACUGCGGAUAUCGGCACAGAGCACCUAUAGGGCUAUCCCGAUGUGCAUCCAAUCUCCAAGGCAACAUUCCGUCUCCGGAUUCUGUCGGCAGCUUCUUCUGGGUGAUAGCUUCUCCAUAGCCUUCUCACCAACAGUCGGAACCUGCCAGAAUGGCACCGCCGUGUGUACUGCUCGAAUUUUGUGUUUAAUAAUUUAUGCUAAAUUUACAAAUAAUUGUUAUGUACUGCCCAUGCCAAGGCCCAUGCAUAAAAAUUAUAAACCUAUUAUAAACAUAUUUUGAAGCAAUAUAAUCAUCAAAAGCUUAAAUAAUACUUUCAUAAGGAACGAGAAACUUGUGACAAUUACAACUUGGAAAUGAAACCAUCAUCCUGUUUGAUUUAUUGUAAAUAAUCAAAUAAAACAGGAUGGUAGUUCAUUUUCAAGUUGUAAUUGUUUGAAAAAAAGUUUAAAUACAGUAGAACCAUAUAUCAAACGUUUAAAAUACCAUGGAAGACCAUAAACCAAUAAUAGCAUA